CACUUUUCCUUCCCGUCUCUUCAUUACUCCAAUCUCAUCCCUUCCCCUUCUCUCGCCCAUUCGCCGACGUUCAGGAUCCAAGCAGCAGCCCCUGCAGCGAAGGUUGUUCUCGUGUGCUCAUGUGUUAUGUAUUCGUUCUUCGUUUGCCAUCGCCGCCGCAGCCCCGAUUCCAGUGGGACGCUCUGUUCUGGGCUUCCUCAUGCCGGCCGCAUCAGACGUGCCUGGUGCGGCCAUCGCCGUCGCAGCCCCGAUUCCAGUGGGACGCUCUACUCUGGGCUUGCUCACGCCAGCGGCAUCGGACGCGCCUGUUGCGGCACUCGUCUUGCGGCACUCGUCGCCGCAGCCCCGAUUACAGUGGGACGCUCUGCUCCGGACUUCCUCACGCCAGCGGCAUUGGAUGCGCCUGGUGCUGCCAUCCUUGCGCGGCCGAGUAUAGUUGUGCACAUGAGUUGCUUUGCUCUAUGUCAUUCUCUCACUUCUGACUUGGACAAUCUGGGGCAAAAGAAGCCGGUAGGCAAUCCCAUCCAGAUCAUCAUCUCGCUAAGGUACACAAGAUGAGUUCCUUCAUGACUUCUAUUACCACUGAUUCCCUUUUCUCAGAGAAACGGUAGCACUGGUGGCCUGCAUCAUUGUCAGGCGCAGACUCGCACAAGUACAGGGUUGUGAUUGACAAACACAUCAGGUUGCGAUCCUCAGCGUACGCCAACGUUUUCUGAUCGUGUGAUAGAUGUGUUGUUCACUAACAAAAAUGCUAGCAUCACCAAAUAAGAUUUUUUUGACGAAAAGCAGCCAGUGCUGAUUUCAUUUAGUAAGAGGAAGAGCCAAGAGUGGCAGUAGCAGUUACAGGUGUGUAAGCAAAAUAGAGAGAAAGGAAGGAAAGAAAGGAAGAGUCUAUGUAAUGUAAGCUAUUUUCUAAUCAGGUGACAUCCACAUUGCCCCAGCUAGGCCGGCGGUUCUCCAAGAGUUGAGCUCGUUACAAAUUUUCGUGAGUAGCACCGAGGUGUUGCAAGCCUUGUUUUUGAAAAUGCGAUUGUUCCGUUCCUUCCAUAUCUUCCACCAGGCACAAAUGAAUAAAGUGCAGAUCUUUGUGGCUGUGGCCGGUGCCCUGUUUUGGAUUGAUUUAAACCACCAGUCUUCGAGGUUUGGUUCAGUGCUGAUCGGCAGGUCCAUGGGAUCACCAAAUAAAAUCUCUCUCUUUCUUUUGAUGACACUUGACGUGGUUAAUUGCUUGAUUGUAUAUGAUUUAAAGGUAUAGACAGGAUAAAAUUUGGGCCUAUGUUGUCUUCCAAUCUCUGAAUCUUUCAUAUUUGUGUUAGAUUCGAUUGUUUUGAAAUUUUGAAUUGGAUGGGUUGACUAAUAAGGGAAGCAGCUUCACACACAUGCAAUGAAGGGAGCACGUGACAACCUACAAGCGAAAUCUGGGAGAAAAGUAACUUUUACAGGAUGCAGGGGUGGUGGUUAGUGGGCGGCGGUCGGUGGUGGCAGGUGGGCGACACAUCUCCGGGAGAAAUCCUUGCUUCGAUCUUCACCGGAGCCGACGACGGUGGCGCCCGCGGGUGCCGCUAUCUUUCUUGAAAGGGUCGUCGUGGAGGUGCUCCUUCUCUCCACGGCUUGGGCUCCGGAGGGAAACCUCAGAUCCGAUGGAUCGGGCGAUGGAGGCGUCUUCGCGUCUUUCUCCUCCUUGGGGGCAUCGUCUCGGAGCCGGCAACGACUGAGAGACUAGAGGAUGAUGGCAUCUUCGCCGUUGAUGGUGGCAUCUUCGUCGCGUGGUUUGCUGAAGCGGGGCGCUGGUUUCUGUUUGGCAACGACAAUGGCGUCGAGAAGAGCUUGGGUUGCGGCGUGGUCUUCGGUAGUCGGUUCUUCCUGGCGUGUCCGAGGUGCUCUUUUGGGCAUGGUCGGCGCAAGUCCUGCAUAUUUUCCUUGUGUCGCUCGUCGUCAAUGUCGGAGCUGUUGGUUGCUUGUGCGUGUGGCCAUCCAUUGGCAUGUGCCGUCAUGGCUUCUGUUCAUGCGGGUGGCCAGGUUGGCCGGUGAUGCCCAUGUCAUGUGGGUUUAUUGUAUCGGUUUUACCCGGUUUUCCGUCAAUUAACCGGGCAACUCUCUUCUUAAUCAAUGAAAAUGGCUUGAGUCUUCCGUCAA